UACGAAGGGGGCUAGCGUUGCUCGGAAUGACUGGGCGUAAAGGGCGCGUAGGCGGUUUGCACAGUCAGGCGUGAAAUUCCUGGGCUUAACCUGGGGGCUGCGCUUGAUACGUGUGGACUGGAGUGCGGAAGAGGGUCGUGGAAUUCCCAGUGUAGAGGUGAAAUUCGUAGAUAUUCGCAAGAACACCAGUGGCGAAGGCGGCUCACUGGCCCGGUACUGACGCUGAGGUGCGAAAGCGUGGGGAGCAAACAGG
rnacentral:rRNA from 1 species